UACAUUGCAGCUUGGGAUAUCUGGGUCUUUAGUGUCUGAUAAUAUCUCCUCUCAGACAAUUCUAUAUUUUAGGUUCUGUUACUUGCACUACCCUACUUUUGGACACCAAAUUCUGUCUGAAUCAUUUACUAAUUCAUUCAGCUGUUAAGUAACAGGAGUUCAAACUAAUACUGCUUUAAACAGAAUUUAGAUGUGAUGUCUGGAGCCCAUCAACCAUCUUGAACCAUGAAGGGAAGCAUGUAUGGGGACAGAAGAGGAGCAAGACAGAAGAUAGGCAUCAUGGAGUGCCAAUUUAGCUCUUGGCUAUAGAUUAUCUCCAACCUUUGUUUAUGUGAGAGAGGAAUGAACUGUCUUGUUUAAGCCACUCUAUUUUGUCCAUUUUGUAACACGCAACAAAAUCCAUUUCUGAUGACACAUGUGUAUUUAUUCCAAGGAUUUGAUAUAUAAUCAAAGAGUUGUUACUUUGUAGCUAGGCUGACCUCUAAAGCAGUGGUUUCCAAACUGAAUAAACAUAUACCAUAGUAAGUGUAAAAUACAUUGGGAUAUAGGAGGAAAAUGUUAGAACAUUGCUUUUAAAAAUUCUAAUAAUAAUAUAAUAAUAUACAAGUUAAGAUUUACUCGCAUUUAAUUAAUGAAUUGACUGUGGUACCUUGACUGUAUGUUGAACAAUCAUGCAUCCUAAGGAAAAUUUUACAACAUGGAAGCAUUAGUGGUGACAACCUCCAUUCUUGGUUUGUUUUUAGCAUAUUCUAACAAUUAGCAUGUUGCUUGUGUUGGUGAAGAAGAAUCAUGGAUUAUGUUCUCUAGUUUUAGCUAAACUAACCUUUACAAAAUGGCUAAAUGACUUAAUAAUAUUUUAGGAAAGCAAUUAUAGAUUGAAGAUAAUCCUGACACAAAUGAACAGCAAGAAAAGGGCAGAACAGACACUUUCCCUAUUCUGUGGUUUGACUUCUCUUUAACUGUGUUAUUUUACCUCACUAAAACAUUAUUAUUUUUAGUGUGAGGAAAACAGUUUGGUGCUAUUAAUAGAUCAUAAAUAUUGUAUAUUCCAUAUUAGUCAUUUCAUUUAUGAUUUCUGUUUUGUAUCUGUUGAUAGUAUACAUGAGUAAUUUAUAUAUAAUUUAUAAAUAAAUGUAUUUAUAUAUGAGGA